CCCUUUGAUACUCUGGGCGGCACGCGCGCUACACUGGUUUAUAUAACGUGUAAUUUGGACGAUAGUCUGUAUAAAUCACUAAUAUAAAACCGUGAAUGGGAUAGUUUAUUGCAACUUACAAACUUUAACUAGGAAUCCCUUGUAGAAGUAGUGAAUUAUACUGCUUCGAAUACGUCCCUGCCGAUUGUACACACCGCCCGUCGUUUCUUCCGACUGGUACUCAUUGUGAAUUGCGAGGAGAUUCUGUAAAAUCGUUGUAAAUGCUGGGUAUUGGAGGAAGAAAAAGUCGUAACA
rnacentral:rRNA from 1 species